rnacentral:rRNA from 1 species
GAUGAACGCUAGCGGCAGGCCUAACACAUGCAAGUCGAGGGGUAGUUACUUUCGGGUAAUGAGACCGGCGCACGGGUGCGUAACGCGUAUGCAAUCUACCUUUUACAGGGGAAUAGCCCAGAGAAAUUUGGAUUAAUGCCCCAUAGUAUGUAUGAAUCGCAUGGUUUAUACAUUAAAGUUCCAACGGUAAAAGAUGGGCAUGCGUCCCAUUAGUUAGUUGGUAAGGUAACGGCUUACCAAGACGAAGAUGGGUAGGGGUCCUGAGAGGGGGAGCCCCCAGACUGGUACUGAGACACGGACCAGACUCCUACGGGAGGCAGCAGUGAGGAAUAUUGGACAAUGGGCGCAAGCCUGAUCCAGCCAUGCCGCGUGCAGGAAGAAGCAUCUAUGGUGUGUAAACUGCUUUUGUACGGGAAGAAACACUCCCUCGUGAGGGAGCUUGACGGUACCGUAAGAAUAAGGAUCGGCUAACUCCGUGCCAGCCGCCGCCGUAA